rnacentral:rRNA from 1 species
CACUCCUGCGGGAGGCAGCAGUGGGGAAUAUUGGACAAUGGGCGCAAGCCUGAUCCAGCCAUGCCGCGUGAGUGAUGAAGGCCCUAGGGUUGUAAAGCUCUUUCACCGGUGAAGAUAAUGACGGUAACCGGAGAAGAAGCCCCGGCUAACUUCGUGCCAGCAGCCGCGGUAAUACGAAGGGGGCUAGCGUUGUUCGGAUUUACUGGGCGUAAAGCGCACGUAGGCGGACUAUUAAGUCAGGGGUGAAAUCCCGGGGCUCAACCCCGGAACUGCCUUUGAUACUGGUAGUCUUGAGUUCGAGAGAGGUGAGUGGAAUUCCGAGUGUAGAGGUGAAAUUCGUAGAUAUUCGGAGGAACACCAGUGGCGAAGGCGGCUCACUGGCUCGAUACUGACGCUGAGGUGCGAAAGCGUGGGGAGCAAACAGGAUUAGAAACCCGAGUAGUCCCAUGA